GAGCUCAUAGGUGGGAGAUAAAGUAUACAUACUUACAAGACAUUUAUUGCAUAGUCAAACUAUGGAUCCAGAGGAACAAGUCAAUAAGUCAAAUCAAGAUGUGCAUGUGUGGCGAAUGAAUGGUGUAUGGUGAUGAUGGUGAUAACAAUGGUGAAAGUCUAAUUUUACUUGUGCUCUUUUGAGGGGAUACAUAUCUUUCUUGCUCUUUUGAAACUUUUUGAGGAGAAUGAGAUGCUCUAUAUUUUCUUUUUCUUUCCUCUCAGGUGGGUAUCUUGUACCCCUAAUUCUACUAUCGGACACUUGUCCAUUUUUACCUCUCCUCUCACUUUUUCUUUUCUUUCGAGGUUCCGUGCACUUGUCCCUUUUUAUUUCCUCGUAUCCUUUCUUUUUUUAGAGCAAUCAUCUCAUGAAAUAAUAUAGCAAGUGGUAGUAACCAAGAUAACUCGAGCAUUUAUUUCAUAGGGAAAAACAGAAAUAGGAGAAUGUUUUUGGCUAUUCUCUCCCGGAUUAGGAGUAGAAUACUUUUGGGUGGCUCUGGAGAUGGAAAUGGGUGGAUAUAUGUGGAUGCGUACUUCUGGAGUAGAAGCAGCAUGUGUGAGUCACUAGUAGGUAUGUGCUUAUCGUGACAUUCCACUUUCGUCACAGAAGACUCCAUAAUCGUCACAAAAGUCAAUCUGUGACGAAUUGGUGACGAAAAAAAAAAUGUCAUGGAUCGAGCGUCAUAGAUUAUCCUGUGACGAAAUGAAAAAUUUUCGUCACAGAUGAGAUUUUAUUCUAUGACGAAAAUACGGGCGUCACAGAAUAGUUUUCAUUCAAUGACGAACCAAUUUCGUCAUCGAUGUCGUUGCCUUUUCGUCGUAACUUGGCGGCCCGUUAGUCAGGCAAACGGCGUUUGCCACGCUGGCAGCUGACGUGGCAGGCCAAGUGGCGCGCCACGUGUCAGCUGACGUGGCAGGCCAAGUGGCGCGCCACGUGUCAGCUGACGUGGGCCAGCACGUGGCAGCUGACGUGACGCCACGUGGCAGCUGACGUGGCGCCACGUGGCAGCUGAUGUGUACACGUGCGUGGCUGCUGUUGGUCAACGUGGUAGGCUGCGGCUUGUUGUUUUUCGUCACAGAACUGAUUACAAAAUUAUCACAGAACUAUUUCAAAUUCAUCACAUAUUGCCCAGAUUUGUAUCACUCCCAUAAGUGCAUACUCAGUACAGCAGAAUGCAAAUACCAAAAGCUUUCACAUAUUAACACAUUCCAGCAACACAAGUGCAUACUCAGUAGACCAGCAAAAUAAGUGCAUAAACUUAGUUCACCACCAACACUACUAAACUAGGUUCAAGUACCAGCAACAUAAGUUUUUGCCUACUAGGUCAUUGCAUAAAACAAAAUGAACAGCAGCAGCUACAAGGUUUUGGGAAAUUCCUACCGGCAACAACACAAGUUUUUGCCAAGCAUCAGCAACAAAAUCACCAGCACAGCUCCCUUGCUCAAUGUACCAGGAGGUACGAGCAGCUCUCAUGUGGAAGAAACGUUGUUGAAGGACAACAGACGCUUGAGCAACGCAUUGUUCUCCUGCAUUUCCUUUUGGGUCAUCUCUGCCUGCUUCCUCAUCUCCUCCAUCUCCCUUGUUGCCUCUCCAGCUUUUCAUUAGCGUCGUCACUUCUCUUCUUGAGAGCGUCGAGCUCAUCUUGUACAGCAGCCCUAGCUUCAACUGCUAGUUGUUCACGAAGCUCGCUUUCAUUUGGUGCUGCUGAUGUGGAGGAUCCCACUGGUUUGAUGCCAAGACUCCUGAGGAAAGCUUUUGAGCUGUUCUUGGUGAGCACCUGGGACACAACCUGCACACUCGAUACUCCUGCCUCACCUUCAGCAACUGGUUCUGCCCUUAGAGCUUCCAUGUUAGACUGAAACACAAAUGAACCACUAUUAGUUGAUAGUUAAUAAAAACAGCAAGGCAUGUACUGGAGAGGUAGAAGUAAUAUGGACAAGCUGUAGAAAAUUACAACAAUAGAAUAUAUAAACAGAAUAUAAAAACUGAAAUGGACAUCCAUGCUUAUAUUAGUGCUAUAAUGGACAGACUAAUGGAAAGAAUAGUACCAGUAUGCUGAUGGGCUUCAGUUACAUUUUAGAAAAUUUCAGUUGUAGUUUACAACAAAGAAAUACUAUAACUUCCAGCAAGGCAGACAGCCACUACACAACAGUAGUGUGGUAGUAGUAUUAGUUUUAGUAAUAAUUGCAGUAGAGUAUGGUCACUUUGUGGUUGAAAAUAAAAAUACUGCUUCUUUUCUAACAUAAGCGAGAAGGAAACACUACUCAAAACAGAUGCAUACAAGGAAAUGCACACCAAUCUGUGUGGGGACUAUAUAUCACACCUAUGCAGCAAAAGAGGACUAUAUCAGAUUAUUUUUGCACUCAGAACUUUUUUUCUACUAGUUUUCCCUCCCUACAGCCACCAACAAUUAUUUCAGAAUAUAUUCUACAAAUGUAAUUGACAUGAGAAUAAUUAAAAGCUUGGGCUUUAUAGAAUUGGCUGCAGUUAGGUUCCUUCCAGUUUCAUGUGUGACUAGAGAAAGGUACAAGCAAACCAAGAAAAAAGGACAGUGAGAACAGAAAUGGGGACUCACCACUGCUUCUCUUGCUUGUUCACUCAGACCAGUUUUGGAGCUGGUAUGUCAGGUCUUGAAGGCCUCCACCACAUCAAGUUCUUCAUUUUCAUGAGUGCUGGGUUCUGCAUUGUUCCUAUGCUGCUUCUGUUUCAUAGAGAAUUAAUUACAACAAAUGUUUUGUCAAUCUUAUGAUACAUAGUGAAUCAUAUGUACACAUUGAGUUACUUACAAAUGCAUGUAAGUGUGCCACGUAGCUGCGAGAACCGGUAGUCUGAUGAUACUUCACUUUACUGCGAUUAAUCUUGUUCUUUUCACUUGUUUCCUAAAAGAGGAUGAUCAUGUGAGAUGAUUUAAUAGGUUUCAAAUGACAAGAUCCAUUGGAAACUCAAUGAGAUAGAAUAUAUGACAAGAUACCCAUACCAUGUUCUUUGGAUUAGUCCACUUUGCAACCAGGGCCUGCCACUCUAGAUCAGACAUGCUUGCAACUGGAGAAGUUGUGGGAAUCUGAUUUGCAGGUAUUCCAUCGAAGUACUUCUACUUCAGCCGAUAACGCAUUUGCCGCACCCCCGAGCGCAACAUAUCGGCACAUGCUUCCUUUGUUGCCGCGUCUUCUUUGUUAAUGGCCAACCUCGCCUAGUCAUAUGACAAAUCCAUUUGUAGUUAGUCAAUUCUGGUUCAGCAGGUAUAGAACUAUAGCAAAGAAUGAGCAAUGCACUUAACCAAAGAAAGAGUAAAGUACUUACAGCGAGUUUUCCGACAUAGUUGUUGUAAUAUCGUUCAUUGUCCUUGUAAUCUUUCCAGUGUUUUAGGACAGGGACCUUAUCCCUAAUGAUCACACCAGAUUCAGAUGCAAACUUAGCUGCCUGAACUGGAUCAUGAGGCCUUCUUUUGCCUUUUUCCACAACUAUGGGCAUUCUCCCUCCCAUAGCUUUGGUUAUUUUGUCCAGGUGUGUGCCCUUGGUGCGUGGCCUACGUUUUCUUGGUGCUUGCUGGGCAGGAUCUACAAAACAGAUUUUGCAUUUUAAUGAUUUAGUUUCAUAUAAAACAGCAAAAGAGAUUAAAUAUUUCAAUUACAAAUAAACAAUAUCUUGCCUUCAUUGUGAUCCUGUCCAGUUGCAUUGUCUUCAGCAGCACCUGUACAGUCAUGUUGGGCAGAUGCACUCUCUUCCUCUAGAGCUGUACUGUCAUGACAGCCAGCACCAUUGCCUUCAUCUGCAGCUGUGUUACACCUCUGUAGUAAUUCUUCUUCACUCUGCCCAUCUCUUGGUGAAACUUGAAGCCUUUUGGAUGCUCUUGUUUGGGAUGGAGGUGCAUUCUCUGAUGCUUCAGUUACCCUCACCCUCUUACGAACCCUCACUCCUGGCGCCAUGUGUUGACCUCGUGUCUUCCUUUUUGAAGCUUGUUUUCUAGGUGUAAACCCUGGAGGGUACUGUGGAAAAAAACAAGUAAGUCUCAUAGAACCACAAUUGUAUACGUAGUACUUGACAUAAUGAAAGUUAAACAGAAAUGACUUCUAAAACAAAUGAUUUGAAACAUUCAUUCAUAGUCAAAAGCAAGUCCCUAAGCCAUGCUAAACUAGAGAAUAUCAGUUGUACUUUAGUAAUAUACUGGAAAUUUAUAGCUUGACCAACUGUCCAAUACAACAGAAACUAGAUCUUUUGAAAACACUAGGCUAGUAUGACUGUACAAGAUUGGUAUAAGCAAAGCAUUCAAGUUUGUGUCAUUUUAUUCAGAAAUCAGAAUGAAAACAUUAAAAUGCAAUGACCCCAUUCACUACUUAGAAGGUAGAAGUAGCACCUUGGUUGCUAGGGGUUGUGGCUGACCAUCAGAUUCAGUGUCAUCAUCAUCACUAUCUCCUUGAUCAUCACUAUCAAGGAGAUACUCCGAUGAAUCCGAAUCUUCACUAUUUGCUUUCUUGUUUGCUGAUUUUUUCCCCUUGUUUGAUGAAGAUUUAGAUAAGUUUUCUUUAAUAUCAUUUGCAAGUUUUUUCAGACCAAGUUCUUCCAUCUUCUUUUCUACCGCCGCCACUUGUGCAUCCCUCCUUCUCUCAUAAUCAUUUUGUGGAGGUUCUUACAAGAACAAGCAAAUUGUGUGUAUUAGAUAACAAAAAGGAAAGAACUAAGAGAUAAGUGGUACUAAUACUACAUGGUAGAUACAUAAGAGGUAGUUUUCUGUAUUAGCUAAGGGAUAAAGAGGUGAGAGCUACAAAUGUUUGACUAAUGAAAAUUUUGAAGAUAAGUGAGUAGUAAUGUACUCAUUCUAUAUGAAGACACAUGCAUGAGCAAUGUUGAAACCUAAUCCAGAUCAUUUAAAUGGUCCAACAGACCUCUCAAAAUAAGAGGACAAAAGUAAUUAUAAUAACCAGAUUUAGGUUACAAAAGUAAAGGACAUCUAAUUACAAUACUUGUUAGAAAUCAAGAGAGCACACAAAUCCUAGUGGCUAGUGAACAUCACUAAUUUCUUCCUAAAACUGCCUUGUUCCCCACUGGUACAACUGAUGCAUAUAUAGGCAAUACCAAAUUUAAGCAAAGAAAAGCCAGAUUCAAACCAAAGCUGAAACAGAGAUCAGCAGAAAAUGAAAUGCUUAUAAACAGAAACAAUAAUUAAAUGUAACCUAAUGUAUACUAGUAUGAUGCACAGAACUAUUCUUACUCAUAAUAUAUAUAGAUACACCUAAUAGGCUAUCACUGAAACUACACUACAGUAUAGGCAAAAAAGGUACAGAAGCCCAAUCAAGCGACCUGAACUAAUUAAGAUGUUUCUUGUCAUCCCAAUGAAUGCCUUGCUUUCAAUUUAUCAUCUCAAGAAACUAAAACAUAAAAAAUGCCAUUGCUCUGUAUUUGCUAGAUGAAAAUAAUCCAGUUUCCCCUAUAGGAAAUCCUAUAACAUGUUAUAUAAAUAUGAAGACUUCUGCUAACAUUAUUGCUUGAAAGGCCUUACGAAAGCAAAGAUGGUUCAUGACAAAAUUACCUUCUGAACAUUGACUAAUUUAGAACUAAUCUGAACAUUGACUAAUUUAGAACUAAUCUAACUUAACUGAAAUCAAUAUAAUCUGACAGAGGCAUAACUGAUGUAUUGUAUAUAUAUGAAGCAUGGCAAUUUAUCCUGUUCUAAAUCUCCAACACGACAGAGGUUAUGUACCCCACAUUACUUGUCCAGCAGCACACACAGAGUGCACUGAAUCUCCAACAAGCAUUACCAACAACAACAAGCAAAUUGCACUAGUACUCCAACAAAAAACACAAUGCAUCAACAGAUCCAGUGAGGUUACCUUGUUCUUUGUCUCCAAGUCUCUGCCUUCCUUGACGCCUGGUAGCCACCAUUGCGGAUGUGGCUAAGUUCGUGGCACGGUGACCCCUAGUCCAUGUCGACGCAGAUCCAGUGCGGGUGUGGUGACCCACAAGCCUAUGGUGACCCCUAGUCGGCGGAGACAAAGCUCGUGGCGAUGAGAGGGAGGUGGAUGCGGCGUUUGAUGGCGGCGGCAAUGAGGCUACGGUUGGAGAAAUGGGUAGGGGGGAUAGGAGGAGAGGGUACAGAGAGGAGGCGGCGAUUGAUGGCGGUUACGGCACAGCUCGCGGGAGAGGAAGGAGACGACGGCGGCGAGGCUAGGGUUAGAGAAAUGGGGAGUGGGGGAAGAGGAUGAGAGGGGAGAGAUACGAGGAGUGAACGGGGGAUGGAGGGUAAAUAUUUUAGUGUUUUUGGCGGUAUUGUUUUUAGGAGCGAAAUGUUUUGGCGUGCUUCGAAAGGCUUGGUUCGAUGCAGGAUCUGUCUUGUUUAAGUAAGUUUGUGACCGACACAUGUCCAACAUUCUUCAAUGGUGUACUGGUUAGGCCUGUUUGGUUUGAGCCCACCCCUCCAGGGUUCGAACCCUACAAUGCCCGUUUUUUUUGUUUUGUCAAAUAAUUAUUUGAUGAAAGCUAUAUGUGAGGAUGUGCAUGACCAUCUUAUAAUAAUGAAUUGAAACUAUCUUUUCAGCAUUAGACAACAUCUUUGUUUUAGCCUCAUUUAUUUUAAAAAUUGUUAUUACCUUUUGCAACUAUUGAUUUAGUAUUUGGUUGCUAAACUAAUAAGUAUACUUGCACGGACAACUUUCUUUGUUGUUUGAUCAUGACUAAUAAGUAUACUGCUUAGGAUAUUUUAACAAUUAUGCUUCACUAAUGUAAAACAAAAUUCUAAUGAUUAUGAUAAAAAGGUACUAUACAUCUAGUGCAAGCAUGAACAAAAUUCUAAUGAUUAUGAUAAAAAAAGGUACUAUACUUCUAAUGAUAAUCUCUCACUUAGUUAUUAGGUACUAUAGAUGUAUGCCUUUGAUAGACGUGCAAAACUAUGUAAAACAUUUAAUAGGAUGUAAGAUAAUGAAUGAGGUUAUUAACCAAUAAUAUACUAUUAAAAAUUGUGGUACAAAAAAAUAGACAAAUAAAAAAUAGCACAUGUUAAAAUGUUGGAGAAAAUCAAAACAAAAUUGCUCUCGCUGGGAUCGAACCCGGGAGCCGAGGGAUAACUUCCGUGUGCCUUACCACAACGCCAUUGUACUAUGUUCGGCAAAACACGAGUGUUCCUUUACUUAAACACAUUUUAACCACGAGGACCAUUUGACAAGCCUGCCAGCGCCCAGCGGCCGUGGCUGUCUGUUCGGCUGGCAACAGUAAAUAUGUUUUUAUGAAAUAGAAAUAAUAGUGCAGCACGUUGGCAACAGACCAAACAUAUUCUUCUACAUUAAUAGAACAAAUGAUUAAAAAAUAUUAAUAAUAAAUUAUAUGUGCAAGCACAGUUCAAUUCCAUCAUAGGCAUUUAUAUGACACACAGUUAAAUACCACCAUAGCCAUGUUCAAAUGAAAAUUGAGUUACUAAAAAAUGUUGGGAAAACUAAAACAAUAGUGCAGUCUACGGGCAUAUUACUAGUCCAUACUAGAAAUCUUCAUCUUCAUCGUCUAGGGACAUGUCAUCAAUUUGAUCAUUGCCACCAUCACUACAGUACUGUUCCACUGUCUCAUCUUCCUCCUCAUCCUCACUAUCAUCAUGAGUAAUAGGUUGUUUUUUGCUUCUUAUAAGUUCUUCUAAAUUUCCAUCAAUUGCAGUAGCUUCCCCACCUUGAUUGUUCUGCCUGCCCUCAUCAUCAGCACCUUCUUGCACUACAUGUUCAUUAUCAGAACAAUAAUCAUCUUGAUGCACCUCAGGACUGGCCUCAUCAUCUUUUUCAGACACAUCAUAAAUAUUCCUAUGUUGAAAUUUCUGUACAACUCGCCAAUCUUUACCUAAAGCUGUGUCUUGCAGGUAAAAUAUCUUUUUUGAUUGAGUUGCUAAUAUGAAAGGAUCAGUCUGGUACCAAAAUGACUUCACAUUGAUGGAUUUGAAAUAUCCAUCAUCUCGGAGGCCUACUGUCUUUCCAUGUAGCUUGAACCAAUCGCAUCGAAAUAGAACCACCGUCCGACGGACUUGAAAAUUUGGGUUAUAUUCCAACUCAAUUACCUCUUUUAGGACUCCAUAAAAAUCUAUGUCAUUCCCAUCAUGUGAACCGUCAGUCAUUACGCCGCUAUUUUGUGUGAGAAGGAACCGCUCACGAUCCACAGUGCUAUACCGCACUCCAUUAACCUUGCACGCUGCACAUGUCCUAACUCGCAGGUCUGGGCCACAUGACAGUGCCCAUAGUCCUUCGCUAACCGAACCUGGAUUCUCCUUGCGUUUGUUCGCGAUCUGUUACAACAAAAAUAUUCAGUUCACUUAAUACAUAAGGGUACUAAUUAAACAUAAUAAUAACCUAUAAACACAAUGUGUACUGACUUACAUGGUCCUGAAACCACUUUGGAAAUCCUUCUUCAACCAUUCUGUCAACUUCAUGAUGUCGUGCACCUUGCUGUAGUAGACCAUCCUUGUACAAGCUGCAGGUCAAAGUUGAAGUAGUCAUUAAAAAAUUCCAACUUAUUUAAAAUUAAAAACAAAAAACUAAAGGAUACUUACUCCUUAUAUUCAUCAACUUCGUCACAAUUAUUUAGCACAUACCAAACUAACUUAUUUAGGAUUGCAUCAUCAAUGUACUGCCUCCUAUCUGAUCCAACAAGAGUAACACCAUGCUUAAAAACAGAGAUGUCAUCAGGCAAUGGCCUAUCUCCAUCAUUAUCAUCAUCAUUAUUAAAUCUAGUGUCUAUGUCAUCCAUAUACCUCGAACAAAAAGUCAAGGUGUCACUUGCCAUAUAUGCAUUAGCAAUUGAUCCUUCCGGCCUACCCAUGUUGCUCACAAAGUUUUUCAAAGUGCCUAGCCGCCUUUCUGUUGGGUACAUCCAUCCGUACUGAACAGGUCCCCUAAGCAAUGCCUCAUCAGGAAGAUGGACAGCCAAGUGCACCAUGACAUCAAAGAAGGCAGGUGGAAAGAUUCUCUCAAGCUUGCAUAGGAUCAAUGGGAUGUCUUGUUUUAGCCGUUUGACAACAUCAAUCCUUAAAUUUCUGCUACAUAGUUCCGUGAAGAAGUUCCCAAGCUCUGCAAUUGCUUGGUAUACAUCCUUCCUCACCAGGCCUCUUAGCCCAGCAGGUAUGAUUCUUUGCAGCAGUAUGUGGCAAGAAUGUGUUUUCAGCUUGCCAGUAACCUUUGAACCAUCUUCACUUAUGUAUCUUGCUAGGUUAGCUGCGUAUCCAUUAGGAAACUUGAUACCUCUGAGAAAUUUGCAGAACUCCUUUUUAUGUUCCUUCCCCAAUACAUACGGAGCAUGUGGAGCAACAACUGAGUUGCCACGCUGCUGUAAGUGCAAUUCUGGCCUUAUCUUCAUAUCAUACAAAUCCAACCUAGCAUUUGUUGUAUCCUUGCUCUUGACCGGUACAUUGAGUAACGUGCCAAGAAUAUUUUCACAAAUGUUUUUCUCUAUGUGCAUCACAUCGAGAUUAUGUGGCAGUAACAAAUGUUUCCAGUAUGGCAACCUCCACAACCCAACUUUGCGGCUGUAGAUCUUAGGACCCUCAUUGCGCUUCCUUUUAUUUCCAGUAAUUUCAGGAUGCUUCCCUGGUCUGACGUCUUUUACCUUCUCUAGCUCCUCUAUGACCUCCUCCGAAGUGAACUUGCCUGGCUAAUCUUUUUUUUCAUGCUUACCAUCGAAAGCUAAGCUUUUCCUCCAUUUAUGUUCCUUUGGAAGGAAACGACGAUGUCCAAUGUAACAUAGCUUAUUCCUAAUAGCCCGAGACAACGGAUCCUUGUCACAAUAAAUACAUGCAUAAUACCCCUUUGUUGUUUGCCCUGAUAACGUGCUCAACGCUGGAAAAUCAUGUAUACACCACAGAACGGCAGCACGAAGGUCAAACUUCCGACCAGUACAUGCAUCAAAGGUACUGACGCCCUUCCAUAGCUCAAGCAAGUCCUCAAUAAGGGGCUGAAGGAACAAAUCAAAAUCCUUUCCUGGGGAUUAUGGACCUGGGAUGAGUAAACACAUAAAGCAGUUUGCUGGAUUCACACACUCCCAUGGUGGGAGAUUCAGUGGAGUCAGAAGCACUGGCCACAUACUGUACUGCGUACUCAAGUUGCCAAAUGGAUUGAAUCCAUCGGUUGCUAAGGCAAGUCUGAGGUUCCUCGGAUCAGAUGCAAAUGUGGGAUACCUCCUAUCAAAGUGCUUCCAUGCUUCCCCAUCAGCUGGAUGGCUCAUUACAUUGUCCACUGGCUUCCUCAUAUUCUUGUGCCAUUGUGUUUCUUUAGAAGUUCGUUUUGAAGCAAAAAUUCUUUGCAACCUUGGCAAAAGUGGAAAAUACCUCAACACCUUGUGUGGAAUCCGCUUCGCCCCAGUCCCAUCUUUCCAUCUAGACGCCUUGCAUACUGGGCACACAUCCUCCUUUUCAUACUCCUUCCGAAACAACACACAAUUAUUCUCGCACACGUCAAUGUUUUGAAAUUCAAGGCCCAACUCUUUAAGAUAUUUCUUUGCCUCAUCAUAUGAUUUUGGCAAAUCACUCUGAGGGUAACCUUCUGACAACAGCUUCAUGAUUACGGAAAAUGCUCCAUUGCCAAUUCGAUAACGAGACUUGAUAUACAGCAUCCUCACCAGAAAAGAGAAUUUAGAAUGCCUAGAUCCCGGGCUAAGAGACUUCUUCGCAUCUUCAAGGACUCUAGCAAACCUUGGUUGUUCUCCCUGAGCCUCUGCAAAAGAAUACAACUCUCCUAUCAUCUCUGGUACUCCGUGAUCCUCAUCAUAGUCAUCAUCGGCCAUAUCCACAUGUAUCCCAAAGUCAUAAUCCCUUCCUUCGACCUCCUGCUGGUCCAAAUUUUCAGCUACUUCAACAUCUGCCGACUCCCCCAUGCUCAAUCCACCUGGUAUAUGUAGCUGACAUUCCAUAAAUGUGUAGAUGGUCGCUUACAUCAGGCUGAGACCGCAAUUUUUGAUUAAGACAUCGCGUACAUGGGCAAAGUAUCUGGCUGUCUUUGGAAUAUCUUUCGCUCACAAAUUUCAUGAACUCUUCAACUCCUUUCACAUAUGUAGGUGUGAAUGGUGCCCCAAAAAUCCAGCUUCUAUCCAUCUGUUCUGAUAAUAGAAUAAAUGUUGUAUGCAGUCCAUAAAUUACAGUAAUAAAUUAAAAAAAAUAUUCUAACGCACAUCAAAGACAUCCAUACAUGUAAAAAAUGAUAAAUAAAUGAAAGCUUCUACUCGGCAUAAAUUUAGCCAUUUAGGAAAAAACAAAAAAGAUAAAAGGUUCUUCCUAUAUACAUGCAUGUACAAAAGGUAAAUGGGGUAUGUAUACUAUUUCUUUUUUCUAACAAUUACUAUCAUCAAAUUUGAGAAGCUAAUAAAUUCUAAUAUCAGCUACAUCCACAUUCACUUUAAGAUGUCAUACGAAGAAGGAAAGAUUCACUAUUUAGUCAAUUAAUUUUAAUGAUUAGAUAGAUAUAUGUUCACUAUUUACUUUUAGUCAAUUAGAUAGAUAUAUAUUCACUAUUUAGUCAAUUAAUUUUAAUGAUUAUGCAGAUUUGAACUGCUUAUUUAGAACGUACAAAGUCCAAAAAAACAGUACAUACAUUUGCCAAAUAGUACUAAACUCAGGUCAGAUCACGCACUCAUGAAACUAAUGCUGCUAAAUCUGAAUAAUAAUAAUGACAAAAAGGAAGAGAAAGGAAAAAGAAGAAAAAAAUAAAGAAGAAGAGCAAGAGGAUCACCUGGGGACGCACGUCGAUCACCUGGAAGCCUCGCCGCCGAUCAGCUAGCUCGGAUGCACGGCGUCGAUCCACGAGCACCUGGGGACGCGUCAAUCACCUGUGCGGACGCACGACGUCGAUCAUCAGGGGAUGCAAGCUGCUACGUAGCCGCCACGAUCGCCCUCGUGCGAGGGUUCUCUGCACCUCGCGUCUGUGUUCUGCGUCGUGUCUCGGUGUUGGGCCUGGCCUUCACGUCACCACCAGCCCAACUCGUGGGUUCAAUAACUAAACAAAUAAAACAACAAAAAAGACUACAACACAACCGACUGAGUGGUCUAGUGGUAACCUGCCUCUACCUACAGCAACAGGUCGCCGGUUUGAAGCUCCCAGGGAGAAAGUUUUUUUUUGCCAAAUAAAAAUCUGAGAGCGCUCGCAGCAGCUUCGGCCCCCCAUGGCCACGUCAGCGACGUGGGGCCCGCUAGCAGGACCACGCCGGUGGGACGCAGUCGCCAUGUCAACGGGGUGGGGCCCAUGUUAGGACUGCUGGACCCACCGGUGGGACAAGGGCACGGUAUCAUGACGGUGGGACCCGCCAGCGGGACCCACUUGUGGGGACCACGACGCCACGUCAACGACGUGGGAUCCACAGGUUCCACCUUGGCGCCACCUCAUACCCGUUGGACCCGCUAGUGGGACCAUGCCCCACCUCAGGAUUGUGGGACCCGCCGGUAGGACCAUGUGCCAAGUCACUACGGUGGGACCUGCUGGUGGGACCGUAGUGCCACAGGUGGGACCAUGGCGCCAUGUCAUGAACAUGGGACCCACUGGUGGGACCCCAACCCCUCCGGUACACUGGCCAGACCAUCUAUGACGAUUUAGUUUCACUGUUUAGUGACGUUGAUUCUAUUUUCGUCACUGUUCUUCGUACCAAAGCUCCGUCACUUAUCAAACAUGACGAAGCUACUAAUUUCGUCAUCGAAUGAACUAGUUCUGUGACGAAAACAGUUAGCGUCAUUAGUGAUUCGUCAUUGAUUAACACAUUUCUAGUAGUGAGUGAACGUGCAAGUGAAUCUUGAUUUUAACCACAUGACAAGCUCCUAAGGGUCUACACAGCUUGACCACACUCAAUGCUCAUAAGCAGUAAAAAGUAAAUGUGUGGCUCAAAGUCUAGCAAGCAUGUAUAUAUGGCUGUGGUAUGAAUUUAAACUCUCAUCAUACAGGAACUCAUUAUGUGAUAUUUUAAAGAUUUUCAAAGAUAAAAUUCUCCAGAAUUCUAGCAUCUCUAGGAAUAGAUAAACAAUAGCUCAACCUUCCCAUAUCAUAUCUGUUAACAACUUAGACUUCAGAUCAAGUUCUAUACCCACAAGUUCAGGUGUAGAGCAAGCUUUAAAUUAUAUCAGUUAUGUCUAAACUUGAGAGAGAACUCAAAUUUGAAAAUUAGGCAGAGCAACUAUUCAUCAUAUCCAUGCUAGAGUUUUAUUAAGAUUCAGUUUAGCAUAGCCACUUUAUUUAUUUAUUUAUUAAGCACACUAAACAAAAGAUAUAUAUAUAUAUAUAUAUAUAUAUAAGCACAAAAAUAUUUAUUUGGUUUUUCAUGGUUAUGUAUAUAUUUUUAUUUUAGUAUAGCAUAAGUAUAAAUGUAAAUAGAAAUACUUAGCGGGAUAAAUGGGGGUGCUCUCCCCCAAGGUGAAUUUUGACGUAAUUUCUUCUGAUGUAGCUAGCAGGUGGUAGAGGUGUAUUUGAAUGUCGACAGCACCCUGACAGCAAUUAGAAUAUCCUCCGUCUGCUAGUCUUCUUGAUCCUUGAAUUCUGUGGAGCUCAAAUAGACAACAAAGCUUUGUGUAACUGAUUAGGUGUUAGCAUAAAUAUCUAGCCUUUAUCAUGUUGAGCCUCCUCAAUAAAUGCAACUUUCUUUGGUAGGAUCACAAUUUUUAUAUUCUCAUUUUUUAUAGAGCAGAAGAAUAUUUUUAUUUUAUUAUUUUUUUAUGCCACCACAGUGAAUGUACUUAUGGGUUUUAUGCCACUUGUAUACUCACAUGGGGCUUACUGGUUUUAACAUUUUUUUAUUUUCUUUUUAGGAUAAUACGAACAUGAUUAACUAAGCAAACGAUUUUAAAUAUUUGAAAGGAAAAGGAUAACUACUAAGUUUACCUCUUGGCAAGGCGUUCGGUGUUUUUAAGUCCUCCGAACGGGACUCUCUGUUUUUCUCAGUUGUCCUCGGAUUUGCUGGAUGGCGUAGUCGGUAGUUCCGGCGGCGCCUCCUCUUCAUGUAUAACUAUCUUCUCUCUCCACACCUGACUCGGUACUACGGUCUCCUUAGGACAAUUCUGUUCAAGUUGUAUGUCUUUAGACCUUACCACUUCUCCUUCGUAGUCUGCCCAUCCGUCCUUGAUGAUUUGCCGCCUCUAGUUGCGGUUGCGUCAUCUUCUUCUUGUCCUGACCUGCUUAGAAUCUUCAACUAUAUAAUUAGAGUCAGUAAAAUAGCGGCGUACCUUCUUAGAGGGGAAGUGCAUGUGGACUUCUCCGGUUUCAAUGUAGAUGAUUGCUUUAACGGUGCUGAGGAACGGUCUCCCAAGGAUGAUGAGUGGAUCGUACUUGUCUUCUCCCAUGUCAAUAACCUGAAAAUCUGUAUGGACAAAAUGAUUGUCUAUUUUGACAAGGACAUCAGUUACUAUACCUUUAACCUUUUGGAAUGUCUGAUCUGCCAUCUAGAGCUGAAUGUAUGUCGGUUUUAGGGGCAUGGUUCCGAACAAGAGCCGAGAGGUGACUGCGGCCAUUAUGUUGACGCCCGACCCAGUGUCGCAAAGUGUCUUGUAGAAGUUGUAUCCAUUAAUGGAGCACUGGAUGCUUGGCAUAUCUGGGUCGUCCUUCUUGGUCAGGAAUGGUGACUUGAGUCGACGAUCUUGACCUCCUUGAACUGUAGUGACCAUCUUAGCUGACUCGGUCCACACUUGCUUGUUCCUGUUCCUCCUAUUGGUCCUCUUCCUUGGUUCAUGUCGGGAUUGCUCUGAGAUUUGUGUAGUCUUGUUCUUGAAGGAAAAUGUCUCCUUCCUCCCUUUGAUGUAGAAACUGAUCGUGGCAGCACUAGCAUAGAUGACAGCUCCUGAGGUGUUCAGGAAUGGCCUCCCUAAGAUGACGGGUGCCCUCUCAUCAUUACCGGUCUCUAUCACCACGAAGUCUGCUGGGGCUGCAAGGUACCAACUUGGACGCAGAGGUUCUUCAAUAUUCCCUUUGAGAAACUUAGUGUCCGAUUUGCAAGCUGCAAACACAUAGUUGUUUCUAAUAAAGGAUAUGUAAAUAAUAUUUCAUAGAGUACCCUGGGCAUAAUGUUGACAUUAGAGCCAAAGUCGCAGAGUGCUUUUGGGAAGUCCACCAUGCCGAUGGAGAUCUGGAUGACGGGGCGUUCUGGAUCGCCUCUCUUGACCGGCAGAAGGUCAGUAGUAACUUCCGCCACGGGGUUACUCUAGUAGUUUCCUGUACCAAACAUGUCUACAAGAUUUGCAGAUUCUAAUCCUUCCGGUUGUGAUGGUAUACCGUGGUUAGUAGCAGGAACAGCAGUAGCUAUUUGAUUUAACUGAGAUUCAAUCAUUUUAUUAAAGCUAAUUUGAUUCUUGAUGGCAGUAGAGAAAUUAUCCAUUCUAUUAUUUAUAUUUUCUAACAUUUUAUCAUUAGAUGCCAAUUUCUUAGAUAGGUUAUCCAUUAGCUUUCCUUGAUUAGACACUAACUCUCUCAGAGUUGGAAAAUUAUUAUUAUUAUUAUUGUAAGAAUUGUUACCUUGAUAAUUACCUGAGUAGUUAGGCCUCUGUUGAUUCCAACCUUGAUUUUGUUGAGGACGGUUGUAGUUGUUGUUGUUGUUAUUGUUGUUGAUGUAGUGCACAUCCUCAAGCAUCUCAGGGCAGUGAUUGCCUGAGUGUCCAGUAUCUCCACACUCCUCACAAGUCACGUGAGAGUCGUAGACGUGCAUGACUUCCUUCUUAUCUCAAGCUUUAUCAUCGAGCUUCUUCAUGAGCAGGUCUAGCUUGGCAGACAGCAUGUCUACCUCCUUGAGCUGAUGCAUACCUCCAUCUCUGUUGCGUGUCUAGGUCCUUUCUUCAUUCCGGCCUUGGUUAUGGAAUAUGGAAUUGAGUAUCUAUCACUGUUGAUUAUGAAAUAGGGAUUGCUAAUCAUCAAUGUUGAUUAUGGAAUGGAAUAUGGAAUUGAGUAUCUAUCACUGCAUGUAUAAUACAGAGCAUUUAUCUAUCUCUUUCAUACAGGGAUAAAUGUCACAUAAAAUAUAGAUAAAGUAUGAAUGGUGACAAAGAUAAUUAAUCUGAUCAGCAUAACUAGCCACAUAUAAUAAUGAUAAUCACCUCAAUAGAUAUUCUAGCAAGUCAUUAGCAUGGAAUUAGGAUGAACUACAAGAAUAUUUCCUAAGUUAUUCUUAACUAUAAAGUCUAGCAUAUCAUAGUUAGUGCAAUUAUACUUGGCAAUCAUUGCGAGACAGGACUACGCCCAUGCAUAGUGAUAUUAUCAAGGAAAAUGAGAAACAUAGCAAUCAAUCCCCUGUAAUAAUGUUGCUCUGCCAGCCCUAUACACGAGAGGGGGACUAUAUAAGAAUCAAUGGAGCUGUCACUACUACGAACUACCACGUGAUCUGGCAUAUAGGGUACAAUCGCAGAUAAAUACGGUAUAGGCACCACGCCUACACAAUACUUAUCAUUUACCCAUUGUACACAUGGAUAAACGCUAUACGAUCCUAAACAUGUAUAUAAUUCCAAUCUAACUAAGCCAACCAUAUAACUAUGAUAAACUAAGAAUGAUAUAAUUGCAAAUAUAAACAAGUAGAGCAAAGUCAUAAUCAAUAUAUUGAAGUAGAACAAAGUCAUAUUCAUAAUAUUGAAGAACAAUGAUGAACAAAUGAAGAACAGUAGAGGAAUUACCAAGAAUUCUCUUGAUAGAUCCGAAAACCAAUCAAAGAUUGACUCCUUCUAGUUCUAAUCCUAUGUAGCUAUGCUAAACUAGAGAUCUAUUGAUGUGGUGGCUCUAGGGCUUGAUCAGAGGCUUCUUCUCCCGAGAUGGAUGAAUGAAUUAGGGUUUUCUCUUCUCCUCACCUCCAGGGGCUAGGGGGUCUGCUUAUAUAAUCCUUCCAAAUGAAUGUGGGCCGUCAGAUCAAACCGACAUUAAUCGCACAGUUUUCCUUCAUCCCUUAGGUCGGUGGAGCAUGAUCCGCGAGGCGGAGCCUGAUUGGCUCUUAGGCUAGGGCGGACGCCGAAGGGGGGAGGGCACGCGCCCUGCCGCCGGGUCAGCUUGGCCUCCCGCUCGUUCUCGUGGCUUCUGGACUCUUCUAGAUGUUGGAUAAUUUUGGUGCACGUUAAUAUCUCUAUGUAAACCCGACGUGUGGGCCUUUCCUCCAUAAUACGUGAUAACCCCCUGCAGAAAUAGACAAACACCAAAACUUGUGGAAUCUUGUUAGAUAAAACCCUAAGUCUGGGUGUCAGUUGCAUUUGGAUCCUUUUCUCUAUUUAUUUGUUGAUUAUAUUUGAUAAUUAAGGACCGUCAACAAGUAGUAACUUCCGCAACGGGGUUACUCCAGUAGUUACCUGUAUCAAACAUGUCUACAAGAUUUGCAGAUUCUAAUCCUUCUGGUUGUGAUGGUAUACCGGGGUUAGUAGCAGGAACAGCAGCAGGUAUUUGAUUUAACUGAGAUUUAAUCAUUUUAUUAAAGCUAAUUUGAUUCUUGAUGGCAGUAGAGAAAUUAUCCAUUCUACUAUUUAUAUUUUCUAACAUUUUAUCAUUAGAGGUCAAUUUCUUAGAUAGGUUAUCCAUUAGCUUUCCUUGAUUAGACACUAACUCUCUCAGAGUUGGAAAAUUAUUAUUAUUAUUAUUGUAAGAAUUGUUACCUUGAUAAUUACCUGAGUAGUUAGGUCUUUGUUGAUUCCAACCUUGAUUUUGUUGAGGACGGUUGUAGUAGUUGUUGUUGUUAUUGUUGUUGAUGUAGUGCACAUCCUCAAGCAUCUCAGGGCAGUGAUUGCCUGAGUGUCCAGUAUCUCCACACUCCUCACAAGUCACGUGAGAGUCGUAGACGUGCAUGACUUCCUUCUUAUCUCAAGCUUUAUCAUCGAGCUUCUUCAUGAGCAGGUCUAGCUUGGCAGACAGCAUGUCUACCUCCUUGAGCUGAUGCAUACCUCCAUCUCUCUUGCGUGUCUAGGUCCUUUCUUCAUUCCGGCCUUGGUUGGACGCCAUCUUCUCCAUAAGAGCUGUGGCUUGUGGUAUGUUGAGUGAUAGGAAUGCUCCUCCAGUUGCAGCAUCCAUGGUCUCACGGGCACUAUUGCCGAGCCCAAGAUAAAAUGUCUGCAUCAGUAGCCAGCUCUCCAUUCCAUGAUGGGGACAUUCUAGGAUGUAGUCUUGGAAGCGCUCCCAUGCUUCUGGAACGGAUUCAUCAUGUUGUUGCUGAAAACUUGUAAUUUUCCCACGGAGAGCAUUGGUCUUUCCUAUGGGAAAGAACAUAGCUAGAAAGUUCGUCGAGCAGAGUGCCCACGUAGUAUUCUUCUCUUUUGUAGCGUAGAACCACUACUUCGCUCUCCCCAACAGUGAGAAUGGGAAGUGGCGAAGUAGUAUAGCAUCUCUGGGGACUCCUAAUAUGGUGAAUGUGCUGCAAAUCUCCAGGAAGUGUUGGAGAUGAGCACUAGCAUCUUUGUUGAUAUUUGGUAACGCAAUAAGGAAUUGAUCCGCAAGCGCACUGAUAUCGGUGAGCAUUUCACCCGGGAGGUUAUCCAGAGUAUCGUAUUUAUAUUUUUACCUGGGAGAAAGGGUGCAUCUGACUAACCAAAUCUAUUGCUACUAUCCUUUAGGCUACAAAGAAUGUUUCUCGAUGUGAAUGAUGUAUAGAGAAGACUGCAACCGUAGUCUCGUUCUAACCUUGGUAAGGAUGAUCUACUGUUCUAUUGGGGAAGCUUACAGAAUCUUGACACCACAGAGGAUGUUCGACCCGCACCUAUAAACCUACCCAUCCUGCUAACGAGAUGUGGGAUGCAAAGGUAACUCGGAAAUGUCACGUUCCUCGCUACUACCACGGUCCAGCUAGUCAGGGGAUAUCUAUGAGUACCCUAGCCCAAACACCACGUUUACGCUAGCAAUGAUUACUCUAAACUCAACCGGAAGAGAUUAAAGUAAACUCAUGAACCAAAGAACAAUAAAACAAGAACUUACUAGAAUUAGAAGUCGAAUUACUGAAGAAUCCUAGGAGCAAGCUUCGGGUUAGGAGAACUUGAUCCCGCAGGUACAACCUCGGAGUAGACACCGACAGGCCGGGCUUCCUCCGAUCUACACCUCCACUCUAUCUCUCAAUCUAGUAGAAACUAGAAGAUCUAAUUCUACUCACAUUGGAUGCUAAGCCUAAAAAAAUUUUAUUUAGAGGACAGGUAUUCCUUCGAGGGCUCCUCUCAACUCUAUGAUGAACUUGUCUCCUCUAGGGGCCAGGGGGUCUGGUUUUAUAGUCCCCUCAAGUGAACGUGAGCCAUUGGAUCAAACCGACAUUGAUUGGACGGUUAUCCUUGAUCCUUUAGGUCGGUGGAGCUUAGUCCGCGAAGAUAGUUAUGAAUCGAAUCCAGGUCAGGGCGGGCGCCCAAGGGGGGUGGGCGGGCGCCCUGCCCCCGGGCCCAUUCGACCUCCCGUUCGUUCCCGUGGCUUCUGAAGUCUUCUAGAUGACAGAAAAUUGCGCGGCAUGUUAAUAUCUCUAUGUAAACCCGAUGUGUGGGCCUUUCUUCCGUAUUUCCUGAUAACCCCCUGCAGAAAUAGACAAACACCAAAACUCGUGGAAUUCUGUGAGAUAAAACCCUAAGUCUGGGUGUUGGUUGCAUUUGGAUCCUUUUCUUUAUUUAUUUGAUGAUUAUAUUUGAUACUUAAGGACCGUCAACAACUCCCCCAAGCUUACCUCUUGCUCGUCCCUGAGCAAGGAUGAACUUAAGAGUUUCUACAGUGGUUUCAUGCCUUAAAAGUGCACAUGCGUUCAAGCAAGAUCUCAUCUCUGACUUAAAACUUACUCAUUUUACCUUUCACUAUGGGGCUUGUAACGGUCAAGUCAAGCGCCAUGUCUCUUAUUCUUGAUCAGGUAUAGCUCUGGAGUUUUUGUAGAUUUUUAAAUAAAACUCAGAGAUUCCUUGUAUGACUCUCUCAAAUCUCUCUUUUGUGGUAUUUCUGGAUCCUUACCAAGGCAGUAAUGGUAUAUGCCUUCUCUCAAAGUAUGUGGUAUUUUUGGUAUAAGUCAUAGUGAUAUUGCCUUCUCUCUCACCCUACUCUAAUAAGGUUUUGAUAUCUGGAGCUCAUAGGUGGGAGACAGCUAAUUUAUACUUACAAGACAUUUAUUGCAUAGUCAAACCAUGGAUCCAGAAGAACAAGUCAAUAGGUCAAAUUAAGAUGUGCAUGUGUGGCGAGUGAAUGGUGUAUGGUGAUAAUGGUGAUAACAAUGGUGAAAGUCUAAUUCUACUUUUGCUCUUUUAAGAGGAUACAUACCUUUCUUGCACUUUGAAGCUUUUUGAGGAGAAUGAGAUGCUCUAUAUUAUUUUUUUUAUUUUCUCUCAGGUGGGUAUCUUGUACCUCUAAUUCUACUGUCGGACACUUGUCUAUUUUUACCUCUCGUCUCACUUUUUCUUUUCUUCGAGGUUCCGAGCACUUGCCCCUUUUUAUUUCCUCGUAUCCUCUUUUUUUAGAGCACCCAUCUCCUUAAAUAAUAUAGCAAGUGGUAGUAACCAAGAUAACUCGAGCAUUUAUUUCAUAGGGAAAAAUAGAAAUAAGAGAAUGUUUUUGGCUAUUCUUUCCCAGAUUAGGAGAAGAAUAAUUUUGGGUGAAUCUGGAGAUGGAAAUGAGUGGAUGUAUGUGGACGCGUACUUCCGGAGUAGAAGUAGCAUGUGUGAGUGAACGUGCAAGUGAAUCUUGAUUUUAACCGCAUGACAAGCUCCUAAGGGUCUACACAGCUUGACCACACUCAAUGCUCAUAAGCAGUAAAAAAGUAAAUGUGUGGCUCAAAGUCUAGCAAGCAUGUAUAUAUGGCUGUGGUAGGAAUUUAAACUCUCAUCAUACAACAACUCAUCAUGUGUUAUUUUAAAGAUUUUCAAAGAUAAAAUUCUCCAGAAUUCUAGCAUCUCUAGAAAUAGAUAAACAGCAGCUCAACCUUCCCAUAUCAUAUCCGUUAACGACUUAGACUUUAGAUCAAGUACUCUUCCCACAAGUUCAGGUUUAGAGCAAAUCUUAAUUCAUAACAGUCAUGCCUAAACUUGAGAGAGAGCUCAAACUUGAAAACUAGGUAUAUGGC
rnacentral:lncRNA from 1 species